AGGGCCUCGCUCGGGCUGCGUGCCGAAGCUGCGACGAACGAUAACCGUAUCGCGACCGGGACCUCUAAAGCACCGAUAUCCAAGGAGAAAGUGUGCUUGUUGUUACCAUCAGGCUUAGUGUUUUCCCCACGGGAAUCAGUGGGAAGAGUUUUUGUUGAAAAUGGAUGCUCGACUCCUGGAAUGUACUCUGCCUUGCCUAACGGUUUUACCAUCACAUGAGGCACAUCUGGGGAAAGACUUUGAGACCUGGGACGCUGAACCAGGCUGUUGUAUAUACUUUGGAGCUGUGGCCAUCUCUCUCAGCUUGUACAAUAUCAAGCGUAAUGUGACACAACAGUGA
rnacentral:lncRNA from 1 species